rnacentral:rRNA from 1 species
AUAAGUAUGUGAAUUGCGAAUUCAGUGAAUCAUCGAAUCUUUGAACGCACCUUGCGCUCCUUGGUAUUCCGAGGAGCAUGCCUGUUUGAGUGUCAUUCUGGCCUCAAAUCAGGUAGA